rnacentral:rRNA from 1 species
UCCCGUUGAUCCUGCGGGAGAUUGCUGCUAUUAGGAUUCGACUAAGCCAUGCAAGUCAGAGGGACUCUUCGGAGUCACAGGCACAACGCUCAGUAACACGUUGGUAACCUAACCUUAAGUAUGGGACAACCUUGGAAAACUGAGGCUAAACCCGGAUAGGAGAUAACAACUGCAAUGUGUUAUCUCUCAAAAGAAAUGCUUAAGGAUGGGCCAGCGGCCGAUUAGGCUGUUGGUGAGGUAAUGGCUCACCAAACUUAUGAUCAGUACGGGCCGUGAGAGCGGGAACCCGGAGAAGGGUACUGAGAAAAGGACCCUAGCCCUACGGGGUGCAGCAGGCGCGAAACCUUUACAAUGCACGAAAGUGUGAUAAGGGGAUCCUAAGUGCCUAUGUUUUUACAUAGGCCUUUUUUUUAAGGGUAAACUUCUUGAAGAAUAAGUGGUGGGUAAGACUGGUGCCAGCCGCCGCGGUAACACCAGCGCCACAAGUGGCAAUCACUAUUAUUGGGCCUAAAGCGUCCGUAGCCGGUUUAAUAAGUCUUUUGUGAGAUUGUUGAGCCUAACUCAACAUCGUGCAAGAGAUACUGUUAAACUUGGAACCGGGAGGAGUUAGAGGUAUUCUGUGGGGAGCGGUAAAAUGCUAUAAUCCUCAGAAGACCACCUAUGGCGAAGGCAUCUAACUAGAACGGAUUCGACGGUGAGGGACGAAAGCCAGGGGAUCAAACCGGAUUAGAUACCCGAGUAGUCCUGGCUGUAAACGCUGCGAGCAAGGCGUUGCAUAUUCCACGUGAAUAUGCAGUGUCGAAGAGAAGUCGUUAAGCUCGCCGCCUGGGAAGUACGGCCGCAAGACUGAAACUUAAAGGAAUUGGCGGGGGAGCACUACAACGAGUGGAAUGUGCGGUUUAAUCCAAUUCAACGCGGAAAAUCUCACCAGGAGCGACGGCAGAAUGAAAGUCAGAUUAAAGGUCUUACUUAACGAGCCGAGAGGUAGUGCAUGGCCGCCGUCAGCUCGUGCUGUAAGGUGUCCUCUUAAGUGAGGCAACGAGCAAGACCUGUAUCCACAAUUGCUACUGGGUUCUUUACAACGACCAAGCACAUUGUGGGGACUGCCUUGGAAACAAGGAGGAAGGUGCAGGCAACGGUAGGUCUGUAUGCUCCGAAUCUUCUGGGCAACACGCGCAUUACAAUGGUAGGGACAAUGGGAUACAACUCCGAGAGGAGAAGUCAAACCUCGAGACCCUAUCCUAGUUCGGAUGAGGGCUGUAACUCGCCCUCAUGAAGCUGGAAUUCGUAGUAAUCGGAAUUCAACAUGUUCCGGUGAAUACGUCCCUGCUCCUUGCACACACCGCCCGUCAAACCACUCGAGCAGGACUUAGAUGAGGUCUAAUCUAUUAAUUAUCCCGAAUCUAAGUUCAGUGAGAUGGGUUAAGUCGUCACAAGGUA